UACGAGUGCCUCAAGCGUUAUCCGGAAUCAUUGGGCGUAAAGGGUGUGUAGGUGGUUGUGUUAGUCUCGCGUUAAAUGCUCCGGCUCAACCGGAGUUCCGCGCGGGAAACGGCACGACUAGAGGACGGUAGAGGUUUCUGGAACUCAUAGUGUAGCGGUGAAAUGCGUUGAUAUUAUGGGGAACACCAAAAGCGAAGGCAAGAAACUGGACCGCUCCUGACACUGAAACACGAAAGCGUGGGUCGCGAAUGGG
rnacentral:rRNA from 1 species